UACGUAGGGGCCUAGCGUUGUUCGGAUUCAUUGGGCGUAAAGGGUGUGUAGGUGGCGCCGUAAGUCGGGUGUGAAAUUUCGGAGCUUAACUCCGAAACUGCAUUCGAUACUGCGGUGCUUGAGGACUGGAGAGGAGACUGGAAUUCAUGGUGUAGCAGUGAAAUGCGUAGAGAUCAUGAGGAAGACCAGUGGCGAAGGCGGGCCUCUGGACAGUUCCUGACACUGAGACACGAAGGCCAGGGGAGCAAACGGG
rnacentral:rRNA from 1 species